GACGAACGCUGGCGGCGUGCUUAACACAUGCAAGUCGAACGGAAAAGCCCUGCUUCUGUGGGGUGCUCGAGUGGCGAACGGGUGAGUAACACGUGAGUAACCUGCCCUUGACUUUGGGAUAACUUCAGGAAACUGGGGCUAAUACCGGAUAGGAGCUCCUGCUGCAUGGUGGGGGUUGGAAAGUUUCGGCGGUUGGGGAUGGACUCGCGGCUUAUCAGCUUGUUGGUGGGGUAGUGGCUUACCAAGGCUUUGACGGGUAGCCGGCCUGAGAGGGUGACCGGCCACAUUGGGACUGAGAUACGGCCCAGACUCCUACGGGAGGCAGCAGUGGGGAAUAUUGCACAAUGGGCGGAAGCCUGAUGCAGCAACGCCGCGUGCGGGAUGACGGCCUUCGGGUUGUAAACCGCUUUCGCCUGUGACGAAGCGUGAGAGACGGUAAUGGGUAAAGAAGCACCGGCUAACUACGUG
rnacentral:rRNA from 1 species